UACGUAGGGGGCGAGCGUUGUCCGGAGUUACUGGGCGUAAAGCGCACGCAGGCGGUCUGUUAAGUUUUGGAGUGACAGUUUGGUGGCUUAACUGCCAAAGUGCUUCGAAAACUGACAGACUUGAGGGCUUCAGAGGGACACGGAAUUCCGGGUGGAGUGGUGAAAUGCGUAGAGAUCCGGAGGAACACCAAAGGCGAAGGCAGUGUCCUGGGGAGUACCUGAUGCUCAGGUGCGAAAGCCAGGGGAGCGAACGGG
rnacentral:rRNA from 1 species